rnacentral:rRNA from 1 species
UACGGGGGGGGCAAGCGUUGUUCGGAAUUACUGGGCGUAAAGGGCUCGUAGGCGGCCAACUAAGUCAGACGUGAAAUCCCUCGGCUUAACCGGGGAACUGCGUCUGAUACUGGAUGGCUUGAGAUUGGGAGAGGGAUGCGGAAUUCCAGGUGUAGCGGUGAAAUGCGUAGAUAUCUGGAGGAACACCGGUGGCGAAGGCGGGUCUCUGGGCCUUACCUGACGCUGAGGAGCGAAAGCGUGGGGAGCGAACAGG